UGGGCUUUUACCCUCAGCUUCCAAAAGCUCACUUUGUAAACCCUGUGGCCUUCACCCUGAAAGAUUCGGGCCUUAACUGAAAGAAUUCGUUUGUCAGGGACACCAGCAAAAGUCCCCCAAGGGCUCCAGAUAGAAAAGCCACUUGCCAGUUCGAAAAGGAGGACAGUGAGACAGCAGAAUGUUUGCAGUCUCUCAUCCCGCCCAUCGUCCUGUGGCGUCCUGGGCUCCUCAUCUGAGGAUCUCGUUUGAAAAGAAGAAGCAAGGCCUCAACUGGGUGCUCAGAGGCUCAUCGCUGGAAGACAUUGCUCCAAAUCGGUCUACAGAUCCUGCAUGUUUGCAUCACAAGGAGCUGAGCUGCCGGUGCCACCAGCCUGGUUCUGCCCAGGGUGGUUUAUCUGCUCCAGGGCCAGCCCUCGGCAAAACUGUCAAGGGGAAAAUAAUGAUCUUUUGCACCUCCCAGCUCUCCUGGAAUUUAUCAGGACAACAUUGUCUCAGAAGGCUGGCUGCUAAGGGUCCAUGCUCAAGAAGGAGGGAGAAGCAGCAGAACCUUUUACCGCCCCGUAACACUCAACAGUUUAGAGAAUGGUCCAAACAGACCAUGCUGUGGCUUCUCACGCUAACCUAAGGAAGUAGGCAGAGCAGAUGGAUUCUAUACCUGUUGAUGAUGGAGGAGGACACCCCUGAGAUGCUCCAGUGGGAGAAACUGGAUGUACCAAAGGGCAGGAUAGCUGGAAGCCGGAGAUGAGGUGAGAACGCUUACUUGUGUUUCUUUAUUUUUAUUGCCAGUAGGAACUCAGG